rnacentral:rRNA from 1 species
GUUAAUACCCAAUCCUGACACAGGGAGGUAGUGACAAGAAAUAACAAUACAGGGCUAAUGUCUUGUAAUUGGAAUGAUGGUGACCCAAACCCUCACCAGAGUAGCAAUUGGAGGGCAAGUCUGGUGCCAGCAGCCGCGGUAAUUCCAGCUCCAAUAGCGUAUAUUAAACUUGUUGCAGUUAAAAAGCUCGUAGUUGAAUUUUAGCGUGUUCGAGUUUGCCAUUCGUUUGGCUUUUUCGAGUUCGCUUUUGGGUUUUCCCUUUUUACUUUGAGAAAAUUAGAGUGUUUCAAGCAGACUUUUGUCUUGAAUACUUCAGCAUGGAAUAAUAGAGUAGGACUUUGGUUCUAUUUUGUUGGUUAUUGAACCUUAGUAAUGGUUAAUAGGAACGGUUGGGGGCAUCGUAUUUAAAAUUACCGUGGUUUGGUCCCUCGGCCGUCGGGGCUCUGCCCCCUCUUAUAUUUGUGCCGUGUUUUUUAGACGCAGUGGACCGACCCUGGUUCGCGACGACGGAACCGCUAUCCCCCCUGCCCGAGACACGGGAAGCAUAGAUAACUCGUCCCUAAAAGAAGGCCUUUGGUCACCCACCCUCCGGUGGCUGCUCAGGGCUCUGA